GGAAGAUGGUGAAACAAUCACUCUAACUCCAACGGGUAAGCUGAACGUGCCUCCAAGUGCAGAAGAUAAUCAAGACGUCAUGAGUAUUCGGGUUGUACUGGAAGACAUACUUGUGUCCGAAAAAAGACAGAUGCUUGAAGUUGCUUUGACUGUGAACAUGGACUCACAGAUGAAUUACACUCAAUGCUUAGAGGAGUACACAAUAUGGACCCAGCGACGAACUAUAUUAGUUUACAAUAGAAGUACUAUCUAUACAUCGGUGUAUCUGG
rnacentral:lncRNA from 1 species